ANCCCUGGUUUUGCAGUGGGUACGGGCUAACUAGAGUGCAGUAGGGGAGACUGGAAUUCCUGGUGUAGCGGUGGAAUGCGCAGAUAUCAGGAGGAACACCGAUGGCGAAGGCAGGUCUNUGGGCUGUAACUGACGCUGAGAAGCGAAAGCAUGGGGAGCGAACAGGAUUAGAUACCCUGGUAGUCCAUGCCGUAAACGUUGGGCACUAGGUGUGGGGGACAUUCCACGUUUUCCGCGCCGUAGCUAACGCAUUAAGUGCCCCGCCUGGGGAGUACGGCCGCAAGGCUAAAACUCAAAGAAAUUGACGGGGGCCCGCACAAGCGGCGGAGCAUGCGGAUUAAUUCGAUGCAACGCGAAGAACCUUACCAAGGCUUGACAUAUACUGGACUGCGUCAGAGAUGGCGUUUCCCUUCGGGGCUGGUAUACAGGUGGUGCAUGGUUGUCGUCAGCUCGUGUUGUGAGAUGUUGGGUUAAGUCCCGCAACGAGCGCAACCCUCGUUCUAUGUUGCCAGCACGUGAUGGUGGGGACUCAUAGGAGACUGCCGGGGUCAACUCGGAGGAAGGUGGGGAUGACGUCAAAUCAUCAUGCCCCCUAUGUCUUGGGCUUCACGCAUGCUACAAUGGCCGGUACAGAGGGUUGCGAUACUGUGAGGUGGAGCUAAUCCCUAAAAGCCGGUCUCAGUUCGGAUUGGGGUCUGCAACUCGACCCCAUGAAGUCGGAGUCGCUAGUAAUCGCAGAUCAGCAACGCUGCGGUGAAUACGUUCCCGGGCCUUGUACACACCGCCCGUCAAGUCACGAAAGUUGGUAACACCCGAAGCCGGUGGCCUAACCCUGGUGGGGGGAGCCGUCGAAG
rnacentral:rRNA from 1 species